rnacentral:rRNA from 1 species
AGUGAACGCUGGCGGCGUGCUUAACACAUGCAAGUCGAACGAGAACGGAUUAUAGCUUGCUAUAAUUGUCAGCUAAGUGGCGCACGGGUGAGUAAUGUAUAGAUAACCUGCCCUUAAGAAAGGAAUAACAGUUGGAAACGACUGCUAAUGCCCUAUAUGCCUUUAAUACAUAAGUAUGCAAGGGAAACGCUUUAGUGCUUAAGGAUGGGUCUGUAUGGUAUCAGCUUGUUGGUGAGGUAAUGGCUCACCAAGGCUAUGACGCCUAACUGGUUUGAGAGGAUGAUCAGUCACACCGGAACUGAGACACGGUCCAGACUCCUACGGGAGGCAGCAGUGGGGAAUAUUGCACAAUGGACGAAAGUCUGAUGCAGCAACGCCGCGUGGAGGAUGACACAUUUCGGUGCGUAAACUCCUUUUAUAUAGGAAGAUAAUGACGGUACUAUAUGAAUAAGCACCGGCUAACUCCGUGCCAGCAGCCGCGGUAAUACGGAGGGUGCAAGCGUUACUCGGAAUCACUGGGCGCAAAGAGCGUGUAGGCGGGUAUAUAAGUCAGAAGUGAAAUCCAAUAGCUCAACUAUUGAACUGCUUUUGAAACUGUAUACCUAGAAUGUGGGAGAGGUAGAUGGAAUUUCUGGUGUAGGGGUAAAAUCCGUAGAGAUCAGAAGGAAUACCGAUUGCGAAGGCGAUCUACUGGAACAUUAUUGACGCUGAAACGCGAAAGCGUGGGGAGCAAACAGG